AUAUCUUUCUCGGGCUUUUGGCUAAGAUCAAGUGUAAAAUAUGUUCUUAUCAUUUGAAUAUUUGAUAUGUGGGCCAUGUGCCCACAAUGAUGUUAAAUUUAUUUUUUAUAAGAAAGAGUUUAUCACAGUAUCUUGCUGCUGGGAUCCUUAUGUGUCGCCUAGGUGUUGCAUUGCUUGCUUGGGCCUGGCGCACCCCAA